GUCAAAAUCAAAUGGACAAUGUUUUCUCCUGGAAAUGAACAAAAGUUAAUUGUUUCCAUCUUCUGUGUCCAGUGUAAUUUACCAGAUUAAAAAAUUGUCCUUGAUUUAAGCCCUGGACAAUGUGAAGUGCAGCCUGUAGGCUGAGCAGGAGAGCAUCUGUCUCUUGGGAGAGCUGGGCAGGAUGCAAAGUGCAAGUUGUACUCGGUGUACCUUCAACUGGGUGAGUUGUGCCAGCAGCAAACUCCCGGGACCUGGAACAGUGCAUGCAUUAACUGCUCCUGGAGCUGUGUGUAUAGUAACUUCAACUGUAGGAAGAAUCCAGAGGCAUGAAAUGAGACCAUUAACCUGCUGCCAAAGAACAACUGUCAUACAGCAUAUCAUCUGAGCUGACAUCCACGUCUCUUUCUUCUGUAAAAAACAUCUUGCCCUUAAGAAAAAAGUUUGAAAGUUGAGAACAAAGGACUGAACAAUGAGCUGAAUUUCAUCUUUAAACCUUUGAAAAGAGACAGGGCGACAGCCCAUCACUUUUCCUUCCUGCAAACCCUUGGUAUGGCAAUAACACCUCAUGACCUGGAAGAUUUUUUUCUCAUAGUGCUCAUGAAACCAGUGUGCCUUCCCAUUAAGAAUUGUCUUUCCCAUUAUUCACAGAAGUCAAACUUUAACUGUAAGGGAAAAUUACUAAAGAAUGUAUGUCAAGAGACAGAGGAGGAGUUAGUCUAGGUCACAAAGUGGAACAUGAAUGUACUUAUACAAGGGAAAGUUCAUCCAAAAUAGAUAAUGGAUUCACAAACUAUACAAGUCAUUUUCUGGAUUAUGUUUCUGUUUUCUCUUAAAAAGUUGUGCAAAAUCUGUAUAGAGACCAAUUAAUGUCCUUCUGCCUCUAAUGUGUCCUGUUUUGUUCUGAAAUAUUUAUGAAAUCUGCAGAAUUGGCUGUACAAAUUUGGUUCUUAACAUUAUAAGUCCUUUGGACAUGGCUAAUUUACAGACAUUUCAUUCACUAUCAUAGUUAGAUAUAAUUCCCUACCUUGAAGAUGUUACAAGCUGUGUCUCUUCAUGUCACCUAUUUCCUACAUGUGAUCUCAAGUACCAACCUGUACGACUGCUGGUGUCAGAGGGAAUAUUCUGUGUUCACAAGUCUCAUCAAAACUUUGUCUUCCUCCACAAUACUUUGGUAUGAAAAAUAAAUAUGUACUAGCCAGAAUAAAAGCUUCUUGC
rnacentral:lncRNA from 1 species